GGGACGUUUGGAAGUAGAGGCAGAAAGAAUACAUUUAUGGAGAGGCCGUACUAAAAAAGAAAGAUAAAUCAUGGAAUAAUUUAAAAAUCCUUAUUUCAUGUUGCUUAAAUAUGUUCCCUUUAAAGCUCCACAUUUAUUAUCUAAAUCAGAUGUAAGCUCUUAGCUACUGUUCCAGCAUCAUGCCUGCCUGCUUGAUAUGUUGUUCCCCACCAUGGUGAUCUUGGACUAACCCUCUGAAACUAGAGACUCUCCAAGAUUGUUUUCUCCUGAUGUUCAUAUCUUGUACCAUGCUUCCAUGCAAUCAUGAACUGUGAUUUGAUGGUAAACAUUUUUAGAAGAAUGUUGGUGCAUACUCCCAUGAUUAUGUUAUAUAUAAUUACAAUAUAUUUUCUGGAGAAA